rnacentral:rRNA from 1 species
GAUGAACGCUAGCGAUAGGCUUAACACAUGCAAGUCGAGGGGCAGCAUGGUCUUAGCUUGCUAAGACUGAUGGCGACCGGCGCACGGGUGCGUAACGCGUAUGCAACUUGCCUCACAGAGGGGGAUAACCCGUCGAAAGACGGACUAAUACCGCGUACACUCCACUUUGGGCAUCCAAGGAGGAGGAAAUGAACUUCGCUGUGAGAUAGGCAUGCGUCCCAUUAGCUUGUUGGUGAGGUAACGGCUCACCAAGGCGACGAUGGGUAGGGGAACUGAGAGGUUGAACCCCCACACUGGUACUGAGACACGGACCAGACUCCUACGGGAGGCAGCAGUGAGGAAUAUUGGUCAAUGGGCGAGAGCCUGAACCAGCCAAGUCGCGUGAAGGAUGACUGUCUUAUGGAUUGUAAACUUCUUUUAUACGGGAAUAACAAGAGCCACGUGUGGCUCCCUGCAUGUACCGUAUGAAUAAGCAUCGGCUAACUCCGUGCCAGCAGCCGCGGUAAUACGGAGGAUGCGAGCGUUAUCCGGAUUUAUUGGGUUUAAAGGGUGCGUAGGCGGCCUGUUAAGUCAGCGGUGAAAUCUAGGAGCUUAACUCCUAAAUUGCCAUUGAAACUGGCGGGCUUGAGUGUAGAUGAGGUAGGCGGAAUGCGUGGUGUAGCGGUGGAAUGCAUAGAUAUCACGCAGAACUCCAAUUGCGAAGGCAGCUUACUAAGGUACAACUGACGCUGAAGCACGAAAGCGUGGGUAUCAAACAGG